UGAAAGCAUAUGGCCAACUUCUAUCUUCUA
rnacentral:piRNA from 1 species